GUGUGUGGGUGUGUGUGUAAAAAAGGACUGUAACUAGAUGCGGAGAUAUAAACCAGUGAGCCAGUGUGAUGAUAGGAUGCUGAGAUAAUGAGACUCUCAAAUACUUAGACUUGUUUUACACGGCACACAAGAUAUAGUUUAAAUAAUUAUGACAAGUGGUUACACGAUGUUGGAAAAGCAUGUGAACACAUGAGUUAAGAGUCUCCACUGAAAACUGAAUAAAAAAACAAAAAUAAAAAUUAUUAUAAUAAUAAAGAAAAAAAAUUAAGAAAGUUUAUGUUUUACUGUGUAACCUCGUCAACUAGACUAGCCAACCGGUUAGCUUGAUGUUCACGCGCUCCUCUAAUACACCAUCAUACAUUCCCGCACCAGUAAAGUACUUUUUCUGCAAUUUGGAGUAUUGAUAUUAUUUAUCAGGAGUUAAACAAUCGCCCAC